rnacentral:misc_RNA from 1 species
GAGAGAGAGAGAGAGAGAGAAUUCUAAAGAAAUUAGGUAUUAAUUAAAGAUAUUCAAUGGCAUUAAUCAAUUUAAGACGAAAAUAACUAUAUAUGCUAUCUAUUUUCAGUUAGCUACUUAUAUGAUGUUUUGCUUCAAUUAGAACCUAGUUGAACAUCUAAGCACACAACCUAUGCCAUCCCAUUUGUUGGUUUCAACAUCUCAUGGUUUUAUAUGAAUUCUAUUGUGGAAAAUCCCGCAAGUGCACGGAUCAUAAUAAGUAAUAAAAUAGUGAGUAGAGUAUUAUUCUCAAGUGGAAUCUGCUUUUGAGUACCAAACUACACAAUAUUUGUAAUUAUCUAGACUACCGAAAUCGAAGAGGAAUUAUAACUAAACUGAUUAUGGCUAGAGAAUGAAUAAAAGCAAGUUAAAUAAACUGAAAAUAUCAACUAAUAAAGGCAUUCCAGAAUUAGAUGCUCACACUUCAAUCAAUUAUAGAUCUUUCUAACUUAUUCAAUAAAUUGGGAAUUGCUACUUUGAAGGAAAUUAAUCAUAAAUUACCUAAAGUCUUUUCUCAAGGCACUCAAGUUAUAUUCUAAUUAACUUAAACCCUAUUUUCGUGGAGAUUAAAUUAAUUGAAAUCCUUUAAAAUCUUUGACUAAUUAUAAAUUCCAUAUAGAAUCUCGGCUUAUCUCUAUAUCAAAAAUCCAAGGUUCAAAAUCUUGAUUAUCCAAUAUUAAUUUUCACCUUUUAAUCUUUCAAUUAAUAUCUAUAAUCACUACUAAGUGAAGCUGAACACAUAAUAUGCAUUAAAACACAAGAAAUUGAAUCAAAGAAUGA